rnacentral:lncRNA from 1 species
CCAUCUCCAAAAGAGUUUGCACAUCCAAGGUAGGCAUCUUCCCUAGCACCUCCUCCAACAUCGGCCAAGUCAGCUCAACCAACUGACCAACGACUGAAGUCCCAGACUCCUGAUGUUAACCCGCCAUCUUUCUCAUCGAAAAAAAUUGAUUUCGUGAAGGCAUCACUUAUGGAGAUGCCUAGACUUGGUAAGGACCUACUUUGUACAAUGAUGCCCC